UAAGGGAGUUAGUGUGUUGGAGGUCCUAUGUGCGAAUCCUUGCACUAGCAUGGAUGUUAUUUUUGCUCGGUUGUGUGAUAGAGUUUCGGUAGAGUUGGAAUUCUGAGGUAGUUGCAAGUGAGUUGUUAGUGGGGAGUUGGGAUUUAUCAAAUAUUUUUAUUUUUAUUUUUAUUUUGUUUUCAAAAUUUUCUCUCUUCCUAAAAAAAUCUGACGUUAAUUUUCUCCGUUCUCUGCUAUUCUCUUUUUUUCUUCCUUUCUUACGAUUCUGUUCUUUUAUCUGUUGUCGUAAAUUUGUGUUUCGGUAUUUUGACAUUCAUCGCUUGUUUUGGUAAGUGGGGUUUUGUUUGACUGCAAGUUUUGGUUCUGUUAUUUGUGUGGGAUUAUUCGAUUUGUGGGAUUUUCAUUAAUGGGGUAAUCUAAGAGGAAAGUAAUUCUUUGAGAAUGUUUUGCGUAGCAAUUGACGAGGAACCAUUUGUUAGUGCUCCAAUGGUUUAGUACGUGUUAGCGGUGGUUGUCGUCAAUGGUAAGUCAAUUUCGUGAUGGUUUCUUGUUGUCAAAUUCGUUAAUG
rnacentral:lncRNA from 1 species